rnacentral:rRNA from 1 species
AUUGAACGCUGGCGGCAUGCCUUACACAUGCAAGUCGAACGGCAGCACGGAGCAAUCCUGGUGGCGAGUGGCGAACGGGUGAGUAAUAUAUCGGAACGUACCCUAGAGUGGGGGAUAACGCAGCGAAAGUUGCGCUAAUACCGCAUACGAUCUACGGAUGAAAUGGGGGAUCGCAAGACCUCAUGCUCAUGGAGCGGCCGAUAUCUGAUUAGCUAGUUGGUGGGGUAAAGGCCUACCAAGGCUUCGAUCAGUAGCUGGUCUGAGAGGACGACCAGCCACACUGGAACUGAGACACGGUCCAGACUCCUACGGGAGGCAGCAGUGGGAAUUUUGGACAAUGGGCGAAAGCCUGAUCCAGCAAUGCCGCGUGAGUGAAGAAGGCCUUCGGGUUGUAAAGCUCUUUUGUCAGGGAAGAAACGGUGGACUCUAAUACAGAUCACUAAUGACGGUACCUGAAGAAUAAGCACCGGCUAACUACGUG